rnacentral:rRNA from 1 species
UACGUAGGUGACAAGCGUUGUCCGGAUUUACUGGGCGUAAAGAGCGCGCAGGCGGUCGAUCAAGUCGAGUGUGAAAGCCCCCGGCUCAACUGGGGAGGGUCAUUCGAUACUGAUCGACUCGAAGGCAGGAGAGGGUAGUGGAAUUCCCCGUGUAGCGGUGAAAUGCGUAGAGAUGGGGGAGAACACUCGUGGCGAAGGCGGCCAGCUAGACCAGUUCUGACACUGAGGCGCGACAGCGUGGGGAGCAAACAGG